UACGGAGGGUGCGAGCGUUGUCCGGAAUCACUGGGCGUAAAGGGCGCGUAGGCGGCCCGACAAGCGUGGGGUGAAAGUCCGGGGCUCAACCCCGGAUCGGCCUCGCGAACUGCCGGGCUGGAGCACUGUAGGGGCGGGUGGAAUUCCGGGUGUAGCGGUGGAAUGCGUAGAUAUAGGAAGGAACACCAGUGGCGAAGGCGACCACCUGGACUGAUACUGACACUGAGGUGCGAAAGCGUGGGGAGCAAACAGG
rnacentral:rRNA from 1 species